GAGAAUGUCGACCCUUCGGUUAGUGACCGAAAAUGCGGCCGGAUAUUGGGUAUGUCAAACCUUCGGUGAAAGUCCGAGAAGUAGGCCGGAUAGGUAUUACCCUAGGUGUGUCAUUCUAAAUUAUUGGAGUAAUGCUUUGUGAGAAAAGCCGGAAUUUUUAGAAACUUGUCGGUUUGAGAAAUCACAACUUGGAAAGGUGUAUUUUGAUAUUAUCAUUUAAAGGAAU
rnacentral:lncRNA from 1 species